GCACGGUUCUGCCGUCGCGCUCCGCGCCUGCAUCUCCCUCCGCGCUCCCUCCACCCUCCCGCGGCCGCACCCUGCCCCGCAUCGCGCCUGCAUCCCGCCCGCCGCCGCACCUCGCCCUGCAUCUCGGCCGCAUCCCGCUGGCGGCCGCACCCCGCCCCGCAUCCCGCGACCUUCCAUCAACGGCGCAUCAACACCCGCGCGCGGUCCACUCCCCCCACCCUUCUGCGCUGCUGGCCGAGGGGGCAUCGAUCCGCGGAGGAGACACACGGUCGUACCUUCUGCGCUGCUGGCAGAGGCAGGGGAGAGCUCCAUCCGAGGUGAAGGCGCGCGCCCGUGGCUUCUGCGCUGGUGGUCGGGGCUGCUGGAAGCUCGAUCCACGAUGGGGAGCCCCAUCCGCGACCUCCCAAAGUCCCCGGCCACGCCAGCAGCGCCUCCCAGAUUCUCCCCCGUUCAUCUCGCCCCCGCCCGUGAUCCCCUCGCCGCGCUCCCCUCGGCGACCCCAUCCAUCUCGCCGCCGUCCACGACCAUAGUCUGCGCCCUUCCAUCGGACAUAUUCACAGGGCUACUGCUUCGUGAUCUGCCCAUCAAGGGAGGAGGCUGAUAAGGCUGUGACUGCAUACCACAACAAGCGCACACUACCUGCCCAUCAAGAGACUUGUGCACAUUAUCGAUUUAGCUCUUAGUGGAUCGUGACAAGGAUGGGUGUGGCUGGAUUACAACAGGAUUGAAGUCGAUUGGCAGGAGAUGAUGCUACUUAGCAAAUUGUUCCCUGACUGUAACUGCCUACAAAGGUAGUAACUUGUGAACGGACAGCCAUGUUGAUUUCAGACAGUUCUGGUGCUGUCCAAUACUACUAUUCCUGAGGUACGCUACUAUUCUAAGACCAUAUUUCAAAAACACACAAUUUUGAAUGCAGCUGUUCCUAUAAGUAUCAUACUGUAAUUUUGUAUGCAGUUGUUCCUAUAACAUUAGGUCUGCAUCAUGCAUUAUGAUGUUCUCUAUUGAUCUCUAUAUCCCAUAUUGUGGAGAUCACUAAAAUGUUAGUGAUUUAACUUCUGUUCAAACUUUCAAUUCCAUCGUCCGUGAACAAUUGAUAAAUAUGAAUGUGUUUACUUGACUCCAUUUUAUCUUCUUAUUUGAGCUUGUAUUCUUCUUUUUGAAGAUAUUGCUGCCAUGCACUGAGAUUUCUAUUGUUAAUAAGCAAGGUGUAAUUGAAAUUUUGGUUCAUUCCUUAUGAAUCUCUGCUGGUUUUAGGAAAGCGCUGAGAGAGGUGGCAUCUAGAGGACGUGAUGUCGAGCAUGUGAAGCUUUUUUAGAAAUAUAUAUUGGUGUCAAGCUUUUUUGAAACUUGACUUCAUUUUAUUUUAUAUGUUCCUCUCGGCUUUGUUUCCUAUCCUUUCCGGUGACUUGCUAUGCAUUGCCACAGUAUUUGGCAUGUCUACAACUGCUACACAAAACAUUUCUACCUCCUACCUCUGCUUCUCUCCUGUCUCCUUCCCGCUUCUACUUCCUCGUGCUGCCUUCCUUCUAUUCUUCUUCCUUGUUCUAGAGAUCGCUAGAGCCUUCUCGCCACGAGCAUCACAAUUAGGUAUGGAAUGUGCCUCCAAUAUGGACUGCACCACUGACCCACAUUGCCAUCUCCACCCGUCGUCCUUAAAAAGACGUCAACCCGCUUUCAUCCUCCUCACAUCCUCAUCUCAAUCUCCACGACGGACAAUUGUUGUGUGGGCGUCGUCCAAUUCAUCUGGUGAGCCUCCAGUCAAUUUCAUCUGUCGUGUGUGUGCACAGUUUGUGGUUUGACUGAUAAUGAUGCUUCUAUUGAUGUGAAAUGGUGUGUCCAGGGAGUCACCAGAUGUGCUUGUUUCAGUUGUUUCUUGUAGUAUGUUUCAGACAAAUGUACAUUUGUCUGGUUCAUUUGGGGCAUACUGUUUAUUUGUACAAAUCUGGUUGCAAUCUUGGGACACAUGCAAAAAUAUAGCAUUGUUUAUUUGUGUUGCAAUCACAAUCUCAUAGUUACCACCAGUUAGCAAAUUACUGCUAUUUUGUUCACUUGGUAGUUGGUACUGCUGUUUUGGUACUGCGAUGAAGCCAAUGUUUAAUUGUUUUGUAUGUAUACCUUCGGUUUGGGAUUUAUAGAAGUAUUAUUUAGAAAAUGAUUGCAGUGUUACAGUAAUGGUUACAUAAUCUGGUUUACUUGACCCUGGCUGAUCAUUAGUGGGGCAAGCAAUUGAUAUAGAUGUGAAAAUCCCGGCCACUAACCACACAUACUCAUAAGAUUGCAUCACCCUGCACCCACAUAGCGCAGAUCGCCAUAUAUGUUGGAUGAAUACAUUUCUCUGGUUACUGACUGCGAUUUUCACAACUAUAUCAAACUGGUUAGCUUCUCAUGAUGAAAUGCAAAAAAUGUCUCUGUCUCAUUCUUUGGUUACUGCUGCUUUGGUCCGUACAACCAGUUAGCUCCAUAGUUUGGUAAUGUUGUUUUGGUCUAUAAAAGCCUUUUGUCACUUUAUACUACAGUUUUGGUACUGCUAAAGAAUAUCUACUUAACAUGCCAUUAAUUUGGAUCUCCAUCCCAAACCGCAAGGACCAUUCUGUUUGUUCAACCGACAUGCUCUGCGCAGUUAGCAACUUUAGUCUUGAAUGUUUCAGAUUUGCUUUUCGUGAUCUUCAUGCCUAUUAAUUAGAAAUGGUCAGUUGUGUAAUUAUUUACGAAUUUGUUUGUCUAACUUGUUUGCGAAAGAAAUGGUUUUUCCUCUUGUCCCAAACGCAUUGUUCCUCUAGCGGAGUUCUUGGGGAAUUCGUGUGGAUCGAGGAAGGGAUUUUAUUUGUGUUGGGGUUUGGAAGGUGGUGGUGUUGCUCCUGCUGUUCUUGGCAUGAGCGUUGGAGAUGGGGACAUACUACUACAAUGUGCUCAAGGUGAGCCGAAACGCCACGGCGUGACAUAGGAGGACCUCAAGAAGUCGUACCACCGGCUGGACAUGAAGUGGCACCCCGACAAGAACCCUGGCAACGUCAAGAAUGAAGUUGAGGCCAAAUUCAAGAUCUCUAAGGCCUAAGGGGUUUUGGGUGAUCCCCAGAAGAGGGCGGCAUAUGAUCAGUAUGGCAAGGAAGGGCUGAAGGCCUUUGCAGAUAUCUAGGAGCGUUGUGAGGCUGAAUGGAUGCAACCCCUAAAUUUGAGGCACAUGGUGGGUUAGCAGAUUACAUGGGUUUGGCAUGUCGUUGGUUCAUGAUGAAAGAUGAACUCUCCUACUAGCGAGCACUGGUGGCAUAUUGUUAGUUUUUUCUGUGUUCUUAUUUCAAAUGAUAUUACCUGCUUGUUGAAUCUAAAUAUAUUCCUUGUCGUGUCAUGGCUGCUAGAAUAGAUGUUAUAUGCAUGCAUCUAGAAUAGUCAGAUCUAUGUAAAAUACUUAUACACUUCUUGCAAUAUGAUGCUUAUUUGAGGAUAAAGCAGACAAUGCCAUAGGAAGGAAGAUUGAUGCUACAGGAGAUGAUUAUGGCGAUCCUGACUUGUUUUCUGUGAUCAUGUUAUGUGGUAUAUUUACUUAGUGGCAUUACCUCUCAGAAUUAUAGUAAUAUUCACUAAAAGAGCUUUACUUUACAUGAUAUUGAAACUUGCCCCACACAUUUUGUUACACUUAAAAGAAGUAAACAGAAAUAUUCAUUUUCUCUCUUGAUUUUCCUCUGUACUCCAUGCAAAAUUCCUAAAUGUAGCAUCCUUCGUUUUUGCUAAAACACAUCAACAAAUUUGGUUCACUCUAUUUGGAUUUUUGUAAAGUACGUUCUAAUAGGAUGCAUAUGUUCUAUCUUUACCUGUGGUUUGUUAUUGCAGAAUAAAAAAAUAAAGGAAUUUCUGGUGUUUGAAUACCAUGGUUUUUAAAGUGGUAAGGCGAGACAAGGCGUCGGACCACCGCCUGGACGCCUAGGCGAGGUAGGCGGGCAAGGAGCCUAGGCGUUGGACCUCCGCCUGGACGCCUAGACGACACCUUAAGAACAGUGUUGAAUACUUAAACUGUAUUUUUUUCUUUAUUUCAAAUGCUACAUUCAUACGGUUUUUUUAUUCAACACAGCUCCAUCCCAUUUUGUAUUGUCCCCUGUGUUCAAUACUAUUCUAUGUCUUUCAGGCAUUGUUCUCAUUGGUGAAAUUGGAGGUAUGGCUGAGGAGGAUAUUGCAACAUUCAUCCAGGUGGUGAGCCGGUGUACGGGUAUUCCAAUGACUCGACUUGGCCAUAACGAUAAGGAGAGGCUGGUCGUCCUUGCUGACAGGAGGGUGGCCAUCGCAUUGCCACUGCUGAUGUACCUAUCAAAUGUUGAGAAGGGUGGCCAUCACAUUGCCACGGUUGAUGUACCUAUCAAAUGUUGAGAAGGGUGGAGGGACCAUUUCCCCAAUGCAUUGUCACAAUUGAUGUACCUAUCAAAUGUUGAGAAGGGUGGAGGGACCAUUUCCCCAAUGCAUUGUCAGAGUUGACGUACCUAUCAAAUGUUGAGAAGGUGGAGGGGUCAUCUUUCCCAAUACAGAGUUUAUUACUUGUCCUUCCUGUGUUUACUAUCUUAAGAAUGCAAGUUGUAAUGACUUCAACAUUCUAUAGGGGAAGCUAUUUGUAUCCUAGCCCAUUUACACACCGUAUGCUUUUUUAUGGUGCAUUUGCAUUCAUCCCCAUUUUUUC